GAUAGGUAAGCAGUGUGGGGUUGGGGAACAGGGAGGAAGAAGUAGCUCUGACCCAGGGAGGGGCUGGGGUCAAGAAGAGCACCCUGAAGAGGUGAGCUGAAUUUUGAAAAACAAAGCAAGGAUGGUCAUGAUAGCUAACCCCAUGAAACGCUUUGUGCCAGGUGUGGUUCUCAGCCCUUGAUGGGAAUAAACUCAUUUAAUCCUCCCAGCAAUCCCACCGAUCUUGUAAAAGAGCCGACUGAAGCACAGAGGAGUGAAAUAGCUUGCCCGAGACUCUGUGGCUAGUAGGUGGUAAGCUGGGUCUCACCCUGUACUCCACUGGGGCCAGGACACCCCAGGCUGCAGCACCAGCUCACGCAGAAGCAGUGUAGGCUGAGGGCUGGUUUGUUUAACAGGCAAAACAUGAUGCAGUCAUGUUGUUGAAUGUGUCAGAUGGCUUGGAUCCUAGUGUGUGCAGACAGCUUGGGUUUUGCUGGUGGACCAAAUAUAUGGCCGUGAUCUUAGGGCAGAAAGUUCCAGGCGAGGUGACAGUUGACAUAACAGUUUUUAAGAAAAGGGCUCAGGCUGUAGAUGGGCAGCUGAGGUUCCCAGCCUGCUUCAGCUCUCCGUCUGAACAAGGCUGGACCUGGGGUGUGGGGCAAAGGGGCAGCGUUAGUGCUCAGGGAACAGAGGAGCCUGUGCCCCGGUGCCCAUCCCAGCUGGUCUUCUGAGAGGGGAAGAAUUCGCCAGGGCCUGACUCCUUGGAGACCCCCUGGGAGCCUGGCCCAGCCCCUGCCCUUGGGGUCUAAAGGGAAGGGAGAAAGGUACUUGGAAAGGGGACUAUUCUUUUAAGGAGCCAGCUCAGUGCUUUUGUAGACUUGCUUCCCUUCAGUCCUCACAUGACCCUGCAACAUGGGCCCAUCUAUUCCUAUGUACAGAUGUGAAGGCUAAGGGAAGUGUCGAGAAGCGAGGUAGUCAGACAUCGAGUAAGCAGAUAGUGGUGCCAGGUCCGUCUUCCAUGGACUGUGCUUUUCACCACAGUGGGGCCACCUGUGUUGCGUGGCCUCAGGUCCUACACACACAGAGGGACCUAUGACCAGGCCCCCAAGGAGUGGGUCCAGUGCCAGGCUGGGUGGGGUAGGCUCCCAGUGGCCCGCUGGGCAGAUUCCAGCUGAACCGGAGCCCUGGGUGGAAUGGCCUGGCUUCAGGGGACAAGUUACCUGCCAAUGGGUGGCAUUCCUUGUAGUGGAGUUCAGAGGCAAAGGCCCAGGGAUCGGUGGAGGGACCUUCCUGGUCAGCGGCCCUGAGACUUGAGCCUCUGCUGCCCUGGGAGGCAGAAGAGAUCAUGCCGUAGAGGAGGACACAGUCCCAGGCUCUGAUUCCGGAAGUCCUUUUCAAUCCUCUCGUUGGCGACUUUCUGCCACCCUCCUCCCUGCAAUUUCUUCCAGCCUGCACUUCCCCGCAGAGCCUGUCCGCUCAUUGAUUUGAACCUGAAAACUGGGGGGACAUACAGAAGGCUUUGCACUGGUCUUUGCUCAUCACAGGCUAUUUCUGUGGAGGAGGGGGAGGACCUCCCUUUCCAUUUAGGCCCAUGGAAGGUGUUGCCUUUUCCAGAGCUCACCUCUGAGGAGGGUAGGGCAGGGUGCGGUCUAGCAGAGGAAGGGCUGGCCUGAGAUCCCAGCUCUAGCUGCAGCUCUCCCGAGGCUUGCUGGCUUCCGGUUUGCAGCCUCUUGCCUGCCACCAGGGAAAGGGGAUCGGCUAAGGUUUUCAGGAACAGCUCCUUUGGCUAUGACACAAUUGAAAUUCUCUCAUUUCCUCUUUUGCUUUUCCUUUGAAAGGGGAGAGAGGGUGGGAGCUUAACUCCUUCUGGGCCCAUUUUACAGACAGGGUAACCAAGGCCACCGCGACUGCUGGAGGGAAGCUGACCUAGAGCUCAGGUCCGGUCCCUUGCAGCAUCUUGUGUCUUUAGGCUGUUCUUUACUAGGGUUUAGGGAGAGCAGCUCUUGCCCAGGUUUUCUGGCUCGGGUUGGUCUUCCGGGUACCUCACGGGGGUUUUUCACCUCCACCUGAACCAGUCCUGGCCUCUGAGGAAGCUAAAGCCAGCUCUCUCCUGUUCAUGCGUCUCAAGGCUGUGACUAUCACUUAGGGGCUUAGUCUCUGCAAGGUGGGUCCACACCCCACAUGGAAAGACGGGUCUGAUGACCCCUCUCCUGGUCUUACUGUGUUUCCCUGGUUGUCGGGCUGCGCGUGUUCACCUGGGAUUCCACCAGGACUCUAGGCCAUGGCUCCCUGCUGGCAGAAGGCACUGGGUUCCGAGUUGUCUCUGUGGGGAGCAAAUGCUAGUGAUUCCUGGGUGAGCCCUGGGGGCAGGGAGGCCAGCCAUUGGCCAGACCUAGCACUGGGGAGAAUUGUGCUGUUGUGGAGACCCCCUCAGCCACCCAUCAACCACAGAGCUUUCCCUGGGCUGGGGGGAGGUGGGCCAGCGUCGAGUGAGGCGACACCAUCUCUACUCACCUAGGCCAGCCGGUUGACUGCUGACUCACCUGGAGCGUGUUCAAGGAGAGCAAGAAAAAUGAGGGACUUUCAGGGGCAGCUGUGUUUUCUGACUCAGUCAUAAUGCCCCUAAAAAUCCUUAUUGCUCUUGCAGUGGGCAUCGGGCAGCGGCUCCACCGUCUUCCACCCGUCUUGCACUUGACCGCUAUGGGAUGGGAAGGGCUUCCUGGGAUCCAAGUGGGCUGUCCUCCCUCAUCCUCCUGAAAUGAGAGUGAAUGGGGACUUGCUGAUUAUUAAAACAAUUUUGUGGGGCCAAAGCAUUGCAUAUAUUUUUAUGAUUUUCUUGGUGGUGGAUUGGGAAGGGCUGGGCAUCAAGCUAUUCCUGCGUGGAUUGGAGCCCAGGAAAAGACAGCAUCUCCCUGGUUUGUGUUCAGUGAAGGUUCGGAAGAGCCAGCUGCACGUGCAGGGCACAAGGAAGUGUGGCUUCCUUGUGUUUUAUGUCAAGGGCAAGAGUGUUGGGCUGGCCUGGGUGCCCCACCUUUCCUGAGAAGCUGGAACCAUUUAGGGGCACCCGGGUAGGAACUUGCACUGUGUUUGAAAACAGAAAGAGCCUCAGUCGGCUCUCUGAGACCCAGUGAACUGGCCAUCUUGCAGAUAUGCUUGCAGUGGGUUCAGGGUCUUUACCCCACUGUGACCCUAGAGCUCGCCUCCUCUUGGCUGUUUUCUAUCCCUAUUUCGGUUCCUGAGUCUUCUCCAUUCUCAGCAGGUGCCCUCACCCCUAACUUUUCCAUCCUUGCCCCACAGAUACUUUGGCUGAGCCAAAGCCUCAUCUUGGGUGGAUUUGGGGUUCUUGGGGGAUUGCCAAGAAGCAGAAAUACCAAUUUGGGACACAGCGACAGAAUUUUCCUCUCUAGCUGAGGUGGCCUGCCUGUGGACAGACAGACGGGGCAGUGAACAGGCAGCAAAACUCACCUCUUUUCUCAUAGACCUCCCAGGUCAACAGGGGAAAUUUAUCCUCGAGGUUUUUCUCAGGUUCCCUCCCAGGUGCUGACUCAAAAGCUCUCAUCACUCAAGAAGAUGGUCAUAUGUGCGACCCUGACCACCACGAUCCUCAUUCCUGGCCAGCCAGACCCCUUGCUCCUUGGGCUCUGGCCGUCCCAGCUGUACCUCCACACCAGUGCUCCCACAGACAGUUUCUAAGGGGCUGGGUUUGCCCCGGAGCUUCAGCGUUUUUCUGCCCCGGGGAAGGGGCAGCGCCAAGGUAAAGAUGAACAAGGGGUGUGGGGGAGUGAUGUUUAUCCCUCCUUUGAAAGAGGUAGGUGGGGCUGUCCUGAAAUGAUAUUCUCACCAUUUACAGUGGACAAGGGGUGAUACAACACAUUCCAUCCAUCAGCUAAGCAUUUGCUACUUCAAAUCGAUACCUGAGGCCCCUUUGCCCUGCCCUUCCAUACCCCCAAAACUCCUUGUUACUGAUUGUAUUUCUCAAUCUUUACCCCAAAAUAUUUGCAAAAGAUGACACAUCAAUUUUUUAAAGGCAAUAAACACAUCAAAAAUAAAACAGAAUACUGUUUUUCCCCUCAGUUAUAAAAGAACUGCCUUCCAUUGUAGAGCAUUUUGAAAAUACAGAAAGAUGAAAAAGGCUUACAAAUGCCCGUAACGGCCGAUAACGUCUGCUAAUGAAAUAUAUCCUUCCAGCAUUUUUUUCUUCCCCUGUGCAUGUACACCUCCCACUCUCAGCAAGGUUGGGGCUUUUAAAACGGGCGAGGCUCAUAACCCAUUUGAACGAUGGCUCUGUGCCCUCAGGAGCCAGAAAGUCUCUAUUUUCUUUUAGUCAAGUGGGAUGUACCGUGGGCUGUAGCUCACCUCCAGCCAGGAAGCUCUGAGACCUUGGUUGGAGGGUUUCGGAGCAGCACUGGGUCUGUCUCCAAACAGAUGGAUGGAGUUGUUGGCGGAGGAUGCUAGAAAUGCGGGCUCUGUCCUGAUUGAUUUCUAAGUGGGCUGCUGCAUAGCCUGUCAACCCUGGUCACCUAAAAAUCAUUUGGAGAGCGUUGAAAAACUUUAAAUGCUUGGGGCCCACCCCAGACUAACUGGAUCUGGAUUGCUGGGGGUUGUGGGGGGACCCAAGGAUUGGUAUCUUUUUGUUUUUCUUACAUUCCUCAGGUGAUUCUGUUAAUCAGAGAACUACCUGCUACAUGCCCACAAGUUAGAGAUGGAAGAGAUUUCUUCAAGCUCUGCCUUCAGAGCCUACCAGGCGAUGUGACCAUUUGCAGUUGGCAGGUUUUCACUUCCUUUCAUUGUCUCUACUGCUCAGAGUCAUCUUUUGAUCCUCAUUUUACAGGCGGGGGACCGAGGCCAAGGAGAUCAGGAGACUCACCCGAGGACACCCUAGGAUGUGGCAGAAGCUGGGGGUUAGAGCCGUAGCUCCUGACCCCACGGCUGCGAGCCUGUGACGGCCCAGAAAAGCAGCCGGAGACCUCGAAUAAGUUUAGGGCCUGUCCCUGAUGACCUGGCCACUGCGGAGGUUUCUGGAGGGGACCACCCCUCCUUCACUUUGUACCCCCUGGGGUUUAGGUGGAGCCACCACCACCCCCUGGCUUUAGAGGCAGACAUGUUUCCCAGGCUGGAUACUGACUCCCCCAUGGGUCUUCUGCAGCAGCUCAGAGGAAAGAGACAUUCGCUUUUUGUGGGGGUUGACAGGAUAUAUAAGCUUGGAACUACUGAUGGCCAUCCUGUUCUCUCCUCGUGGAAGCUAACAAGAAGGAAAGAGCUAAGAGAAAGUGGGCAUAUGCUAUCCAGACAUCAAUAAGGCCCUGAACGCAGCCAUGCCUGAAGCCAACUGCACCCCUGGACUAACCUGCUUAUAUGAGCCAAUGAAGUUCUUUUUUUCCUAAGACUACCCUGAGUUGGGUUUCUGUCAUAGAAAGGGUCCUGAUAAAGGCAAUGGUUAUGAUUUUUUUUAAUCUGUUUUAAAAAAAUCAACUUUGAGUUAUACUUUCCGUGCAAUAAAAUCCACCUAUUUUAAGUGUUCAAUUCAGAAUUUUUGUCAAGCACGUAUACCCUCGUACCUACCACCACCCUCAAGAACAUUUCAAGUUCUGUCAUUACCCUUUAUGGCCCAUUUCCCCAACCUCAGACAACCGCUGACCUGCCUUGCCUUUGUUCUAGAGAUUCAUUUUCUAGAAUUCUAUAUAUACAUGGCAUGUGCUCUGUUGUGUCUGGCUUCUUUUAUUCAGCAUGGUUUUGAGAUUCAUCCAUGUUCCUUUUUAUUGCCAUGUAGCGUUCCAUUGUAUGGAUGUACCAUGGUUUGCUUAUCAGAAGAUUUAUCAGAAGAACAUGUGGGCUGUUUCCAGAU